rnacentral:lncRNA from 1 species
CAGGCUUGGUCCAACUCUUUCCGCGCCGGCUGCGAGUGCGCAGCACAGCCAACCUGUGGGCGGGGGUGUAAGGGAGCGGAGAGCCAAGCCCGGCACUUCCCACGCAUUGCUCAAAGACUGCAGUCAGACCCCUAGAGUGGAGAAAGUGUCGCCUUCGGGUGUCCAGUUCGCUGCAGUGACCCCUGCGUUAACGUUUUCCGCUGCUGCGGCUGCUGGAGCUUCGAUAAUUCCCGCAUCUCGGCGGGGGCGCGCAGCCUCUGCACUCUGCGGACCAAGCAGGAGGGUGCUGGAGCGGACUCUCCCAACAGCGUCUGUGCUUGUCCUCCUGCCUCCCCACCCCCACCCUGCGCCACCCGUAUCCCCGCCCCCUCGCUCUGCACCUCCUCCUCGGCUGCGGGUAGAGGGCUUCAAACAGCCGCAGCGCCCAGUGUCUGGACAGCCUGUAGGAGGCACACACGCCUACACCCACCCUGCCUAGCCGCACCCCUGCCCAGCAUGUCGGCUCUCGAGUGGUACGCCCACAAAUCUCUGGGCGAUGGCAUCUUCUGGAUUCAAGAACGCUUCUAUGAGUCCGGCAACCGCGCCAAUAUCUGGCUGGUGCGUGGCUCCGAGCAGGACGUAGUGAUCGAUACCGGCCUGGGGUUGCGCAGCCUCCCGGAGUACCUGUAUUCCUCCGGCCUCUUGCAGGACUGCGGGGCCAAAGAGGAUGCGGCGCCCCGGCCGCUUCUGGCUGUGGCCACCCACGUGCACUUCGACCACUCCGGCGGUCUGUACCAGUUCGACCAGGUGGCCGUGCACCACGCUGAGGCCGAGGCCCUGGCUCGCGGGGACAACUUUGAGACCGUGACCUGGCUUUCCGACAGCGAGGUGGUGCGGGCGCCCAGCCCCGGCUGGAGGGCCAGGCAGUUCCGAGUGCAGGCGGUGCAGCCCACCCUCAUUCUGCAGGAUGGUAAUAGGCCCCCACGGGCACGCGAUCGCGUUAAGGGAGGGGAUUGGGGAGAGACUGUCCGAGUACUGCG